GAACGCGACCAGUCGGGGCACGCGUAUCGGAAAACCUUCCUCUCCUUAUUCUCCGUGUUGGGAUCGGGAAGGAGCGGCGGUAGAUAGCGAGGGGGCAAGUAGGAGAGAUCGGCGGCGGCGGCGGUGGCGGUGGGGUUAGAGAGGAGGACUGCGUGGGAGAGGAGCGGUGGCAGCAGCGUUCACGGGUGCGACCACCUAAUCCACCAAUCUCGCCCUACACUGUUGCGUAGACCGGCCUCCUCUUGCACCCUCGCCGUAGAGGAUCGCUGCCGCGACCCCGUCCGCUACGAAGUUCCGCUGCCCGACUCCGCCGCCACGUCCCUAGGCGAGCCAGACGACAACGACGACGCCCGCCUGCCCCCUCGCCCAGCUCCACCGUCGAGGCAGCCACUACGGAUCCUUGGAGAGGUGGUUGAAGAAAGUCCCCCUCUAGGACUUACCGUCGUAGGAGCCUGGAAGCUUUCGUCGACAUUCGAAUUGAGACUGGAUUAGAGUAAGGUGAAAUACACAGGAAAUACUACAGUCUUGUACAAUAUUUAUAUUACUCACCAUAGAUAAUUGAACAUGGUGUUCAGGUGUUGACAUGACCUAGUCUGACGAGACCACGUAAAGUUUACUACGUCCGUACAGCUUUUAGACCUCGAAACGUCCGACGGGUAGGUCUUCCCAACGGCACCUUGGGAGCCCAAGAGACGUCACGACGGCGUCUCUUACUAGAAUACGGUCUACCUAACAAGUCUAUAAACUACCAAUAUGACUAUCCUUGUCAGCCGAAAAAAACAAAAGAUUUUUCUGUCCUUGUCAUAGGUCAUACUAACUGAAGAAUACAUUGUCGAAGUAACUCCUCGAGUUUCCACGACUGACUGACAAGAAUCCGGUUAUCAAAGUUAACAACAAUAUCGUAAAGAUAGCAAGAAGUGUCCAACGCUUUAGUUCGCACGAUCGCCACCGCUCGCUAAACUCGCGGUUACCGAGUUGUCGACUAAUAGUUAGUUCAAACACAUAAAAUAAAAGUGGCCGUUACGACGUAGGAAAACUCAACGUUACCAACAUACCAAGUCUAUCUGUUAAAUAGUAAAAAGAAAAGAACUGGUUCAAAUACGAAAAUAACUAGUUGUUAAUAAAACUUGGUGUUUGGAUAAUGAGAAACCUCACCGGUUUACACAUAGAAACUUAGAGGUUCACGGUGGCCCCACGAUAUAUAUAAAGUAACCAAGUACCUAGUAAUCCUCCGUUUAUUACCAUCUUUAUUAAUCGAACGUUCAAGACAUAACGGUCUCCUCAGUAUUAAGCAAAUCCCUUCGUUUUGGUACGUACUAUUAGUCCCCCUUGUACGUUGUAUGCAUCGGCUCCCGAAGAGACAUCCAUUAGUUCCCUAGGAUUAAGUCGUAACGAGGAGGUACAAUCUUAAUUAGUAAUAACUCCUUUAGCAAUUGACCAUCGACGAGCCAACCCACCGCUCACCUCCUAAUUAUCCGAUUAUGUUUAAUUAGCCGGUAAAUUAGUUAAUUAACCUACUAAAUAGUCAAAUGAAGGCCACUGGAAUACUCAUCCCUAAUUAGCCGUUCCAUUAACCAAUUAGCCUGUUUAAGAACUUGUCCCCUUAAUUAGUAACCCUUGAAAGCUAUCUCCACUAAAACAAAUCUAUUAAUCAAAUCCGCCAUUGUAAAACUAACUAUUCCGUAUACAAAUAAACGAAAAAGUAAGUCCCUAUGUGAAUUCAUUGGUAGUGGUAGUCAUUUUUCUUCCGUAUGUUUUGUACUUCAAAAACGGAAACAACAUACGGAGUAAUCGACAGCGAAUAAAUAAAGUUCAAUAAUCAGCUCGAAGAAAUACGAAGGGUAAAGAUUUAUUUUUCAAUUAUGUUAUAAUAACUACACACUCCUCCACUCUCUUCUUCUUUUCUCCCAGUAGUCAAAACGAACUACGACUGUACCAGUUCGAUCUCGUUCAACAGACUUCGUAGUUCUACCUCCCGGAAGAAACCCCAAGAAGACACAACGACUAUGUACAAAAAAAGACAGACGUAUUAAUGACACAAAACAUUCCAACUCCCAAAAGGCUGGGAACGUCGGUUCGAGCGCGGUCAAACUAUACCGUAGUUCUUCGACCAUAUCUACGAUACAAUACUACAGGUAAGAGGUCCUUCAGUGUGGUGGGAUCCUGAGACGGCGUCUCCUUGUGACUUACGGAGGACACUCGUGCCUGACGUCUCUGUUGCUCCUGGAGUUCGAAACAACCGGUGAGACGUAUCGUUUCAAUACGGAGAGUUCCACACUACCUAGGUUCUCGCACAUUCCUCGAAAAGGGGCGAUGUGGCCGUUGUCCGUGCGCUCGAAAGGCUAGGUGCUGUUGUGGCCAGUUGUUCACCUUACUAAUCUACGUCCGAUGAUCCUUGAGUUUCUUCUUCCCGUAAAACUUGUUUCCUUGGAAAUAACUAGACAUACAAGAUGAAAAUUGAAAGAUGACUUUUAUUUCGAUCCGAUGAGUACUAAAAAAAUCCGUAAAGAUUGAACCGUAUCGUCGUGCACAUCCACGAAUGUUUAACAGUGCACGUACGGUACGAUCUCGAGAGAACGCAUAACGUCCCUCGACCGGUGUCGAGUACAAAUUAAACAACGGGAAAGUAGUCAUUCCAAAAAUCACAUAUCAUGAAGAAAUCUGAUGAAUAAACCAGAAGUGAUUAAUUACUUCCUCGGGUAGGACCGAGCUUAGAAAUUAAAAGGUUUUCGAUACUAUUAAUUACGGUUCAAUAAAGAGAAUGAAAACAGUUUCUUAUUUUACAUCAUGCAUCAACAGUUUUACCUAAAAGCAACAAAGAACUUGAAAAAUGAAGACAUUUCAUGAUGAUUAACCCAUUAUGGUCUGUUUAAAGACACCACCGUAAACUAAGGUAAUCACAUUUCUACCUUGAAUGUACUUAAAGGACUAUACCAGUAUUUUAGGACCACCUCACGGGGCAAGUCGAACUCCAUUAUUUUAAGACCACUCUCGGGGUAGUUUAUUCUAUUAAAAAAGGUCACCAAGAGAACUAUCUUGUAAAGCUUGUUUAGGUACUCAUAAAACAUCGAUAUAUGUAUGGUACAGGAAACAAAGUAUAAUCAAGUGCUUAUCCAGUAACUGUACUUAUUAAUAAGAGGUUUUGUUGAUAAAUCACCACACGAUUCUAUGAUAACGAUAAAUUCACAACAAUUCGUUUAAUAGAGACUGCGGACAUGAAAAGUCGGUACACUUGCUUGUUUAAUUAAUUCUAGUUCGUAAGAGAACAAAAAAAUUAUACCUCGAAAAUCGUGGAGAAGUGGCUAGUUAACCCUAGUAAAAAAUAUCGUACGUCAGUUUAGAAACAAGGAGUAACAUAUAAAAAAGUAUCAGAUAAUUUUUUUGACCUUUUAACUUCUUGACCAUUAGGAAAACCAUAAGAGUAUAAAAAAACCAGGUGUAAUCCUUUACAUUUAAGUCAAUACGAAAGUAGAUGUUUAAAACCCUCCAGUUUUAUCAAUGGAACGAGAGAGAGAGAGAGAGAGAGAGAGAGAGGGGCAGGGAGGGAGGGAACCCGAUACACACCUAAACCUUUCCAACAUAACGCGACUUGUGAACACACUAGACUAUUUAUGUGCACGAGACUUGACAUUAGUCAGCUUUAAAAAUCUAGUUAAAAUAUAAAAUAAACAUGAUCGUUCACUUAAUAGUUGGCUUAAUAUACCACUAGUCUGACUAGGUCUAUGAUUACUUUAAGUUUACCACCGACGUCCUAUUUUCCUCGUUCCUAGUUACUAGGGUAUGUCCAAUUACUACUACUUCCAUAACUAAAGUGGAGAUAAGACGAACCGACGAGUACCUACUUCGUACAAUCUAAUCAUACAUGUAACGAUAAGGAACGAAUUACCCGUACAAGGAUACUCUUUGACUUUGUAUACGCAUACUAUUAACGUACGACGAUAAUCUCAUUUUUUCUCGAAGCUACCUAGUCCAUUUAAAUCACAUCGGGAGACUUUGACGUUACCGGGAUGUAAUGAUUAAAUAAUGUCUCCUUAUUAUUCUCAGGAUUACCUGAAUUAAGCACUACAAAGUAAAAUCGGAUUUAGAAGUCAAGUUACUGACGACCAAUAGGUACUUUGUCUGGUUGUGAAACAUAGUGACUAAUAAAUCUCUCGGCGUUUGCACGGUCCUUUGGGUUUCCAGGUUGAUCCUUACGUUUUUUAUAUAUCUGAUUCUCCUGGCAAUGUGUUCCAUUGAUAGCCAAGGAUGUUGUAAUGCAUUGGUACCUUAAAUAUACCCUAAUUUAUCAGUAAUACAACCUUUAUAUCCCAGUACGUAUGUAUGUCAUGUCCCUUGUGAACCUUGAGGUUACGUUCAUAGGUUCACUUAAACUGUAGAGAGGUCUACUCUAGACAGAAGAAUUCGCUGACCAAGUAAGCUCCCAUGGACGGUAAUUCCAGAUACAGACAUUCUACUUGUUGUGUACAUCAUGUCCUAUUUCUUACAUGAAGAGACGAGGUAUGUGAUCCUAGAAAGAGUUCGAAUUGGGUUAGCAACUCUUGUACACUUAGUAUUGGGGUACACCUACAAAUGUCCUUGUUGAAACAAAUUAUAUUCCAAUUCUAUUUUCUCACCGAUAGUUGUGUUUGACCUGCGUUAAGCAGUUUCGUCGGUCUUAGUUCUUUUUCCCUACAUAAGCAGACAGAAACUUCUCUGAGCCCAGCAGUCGACAGUGAGUGGCAGGUAUUGGAAAGUAUUCCACUCGAGCGACUAACGGUUCGCUGCCACUGCCACUAAAAAGUUGUCCAGUAUACUGUAACGCAGCUAGUGAGUCCUUUUUCUAGGGUAGGUCGUGUGUAGUUCCGUACGGGGUAUGCAGAAUAUAACAACACAUGUAUCAAACAAGGAUACGAAAUGUAUUUUUCGUAACAUUUAUUCAAUAGUACAUUACGCUAGAACGCAAGGAAAACCAUACGAUAGUACUUGGUUACGUAAAAACCGAAGGUAGUACAUUUGGAUAGUUCGUGUUUUCCACAGGAUAGCACAUAGGACG
rnacentral:rRNA from 1 species